CAAGUCGCACGAAGAAGUGGAGCAAUCCAUGAGUAAAGUGGCGCACGGGUGAGUAACACGUGAAUGAUCUACCUCCGAGUGGGGAAUAACCUAGAGAAAUCUGGGCUAAUACCGCAUAACACUUACGAGUCAAAGCAGCAAUGCGCUUGGAGAGGAGUUCGCGGCCGAUUAGCUAGUUGGCGGGGUAAUGGCCCACCAAGGCGAUGAUCGGUAUCCGGCCUGAGAGGGCGCACGGACACACUGGAACUGAAACACGGUCCAGACUCCUACGGGAGGCAGCAGUGGGGAAUUUUGCGCAAUGGGGGAAACCCUGACGCAGCAACGCCGCGUGGAGGAUGAAAUCCCUUGGGAUGUAAACUCCUUUCGAUAGGGAAGAUAAUGACGGUACCUAUAGAAGAAGCCCCGGCUAACUUCGUGCCAGCAGCCGCGGUAAUACGAGGGGGGCAAGCGUUGUUCGGAAUUAUUGGGCGUAAAGGGUGCGUAGGCGGUCUGACAAGUCUGAUGUGAAAUCUAUGGGCUCAACCCAUAGUCUGCAUCGGAAACUGUCGGGCUUGAGUAUGGGAGAGGUGAGUGGAAUUUCCGGUGUAGCGGUGAAAUGCGUAGAUAUCGGAAGGAACACCUGUGGCGAAAGCGGCUCACUGGACCAUUACUGACGCUGAGGCACGAAAGCUA
rnacentral:rRNA from 1 species